GACGAACGCUGGCGGCGUGCCUAAUACAUGCAAGUCGAGCGCAGGAAACCGUUCCGAACCCUUCGGGGGGACGACGGUGGAAUGAGCGGCGGACGGGUGAGUAACACGUAAAGAACCUGCCCAUAGGUCUGGGAUAACCACGAGAAAUCGGGGCUAAUACCGGAUGUGUCAUCGGACCGCAUGGUCCGCUGAUGAAAGGCGCUCCGGCGUCGCCCAUGGAUGGCUUUGCGGUGCAUUAGCUAGUUGGUGGGGUAACGGCCCACCAAGGCGACGAUGCAUAGCCGACCUGAGAGGGCGAUCGGCCACACUGGGACUGAGACACGGCCCAGACUCCUACGGGAGGCAGCAGUAGGGAAUCUUCCACAAUGGACGAAAGUCUGAUGGAGCAACGCCGCGUGAACGAUGAAGGCUUUCGGGUCGUAAAGUUCUGUUGUAAGGGAAGAACAAGUGCCGCAGGCAAUGGCGGCACCUUGACGGUACCUUGCGAGAAAGCCACGGCUAACUACGUGCCAGCCGCCGCCGUAA
rnacentral:rRNA from 1 species